AAUGUUAUUGUCCAGAAAGCAGAAACAAUAAGUAGCGUCUUGUAUCCUGAUGACCGCUCUCAUCAGGUUUAUUCAUCUAUCGCUUAUAUUUCUCUGGAAAUGGAUUCUUUGUUACUUAUUAUUCACUUUUAUUCUGAGUUUUAAAAUGUUCAAGGGAAGGAACUUAGAUUGAAGCAGCAAUAUUUCUUUGUCUCAGCAUCCACACAGGACAUCAUUCGAAGAUUCAAAGAUGGUCACAAUAACUUUGAUGAGUUUCCAGAGAAGGUUGCUCUACAGUUGAAUGAUACUCAUCCAUCACUUGCCAUAGCUGAACUCAUGAGAGUUCUUGUCGAUGAAGAGAAUUUGGAUUGGGAUAGAGCAUGGGGCAUUGUUUGUGCUUUCUUGUUAAUGGAUAGCUUUGGAAGAAGGCUAUGCUCAUCUAUUUGAAGAGAAGUGUAUAUGAGAAGUAUAUAGAAUAUUACUACCUCUUUAUAUAAGUUUCAGAAAGUCUUGAUCCCAGUUUUGCAAGAGACAGGUAGGUUACACAAGGCAAUCUCAUCUGAUGUUGGAUGAUUUCAUUAAGAAAUAUUGAAGGGAAGUUUGGGCAGAAAGGAAAGGACUAUGUUAAGUGGGCAGCAAAGAUGGCUUUAAGCCUUGGUGCUGGGGUUCCAUGGGUGAUGUGCGGGAAAACUGAUGCUCUGGAUGAAGUUGUAAGAUAGAUGCAUGCAAUGGAUACUACUGUGACGGUUAUAGGCCAAAUUCCUAUAACAAACCCACGCUUUGGACUGAAAAUUGGGAUGGAUGAAUUAUGGUGCAUUCUUGGAGAAAGACGGAGCGGGGUUUAGAGGGCAAGUUAAACUUACUGGAUUUCAAAAUGGGUAUAUAGACCUCUCAAAGUCUUUAUGGACCUACCAGGUUGGGCUCAAGGGAGAAUUCUUGAAGAUAUAUGCUGUAGAAGAAAAUGAAAAGGCAGGGUGGAUUGAUUUAACUCCAGAUGCUGAUCCAUCGAUAUUAACAAUUUGUUGGCACCGCCUCCACCACCUCCAACAGACCAAGCUUCAGAUGCAAAUUUAAGAGAGUCGCCAUCUAUUUCAGU